rnacentral:rRNA from 1 species
AACGAACGCUGGUGGCAGGCUUAACACAUGCAAGUCGAACGCGAAAUCACCUUCGGGUGGUGGAGAGUGGCAGACGGGUGAGUAACGCGUGGGAACCUACCUAGUGGUACGGAAUAACUCAGGGAAACUUGGGCUAAUACCGUAUGUGCCAGAAAGGGGAAAGAUUCAUCGCCACUAGAUGGGCCCGCGUCGGAUUAGCUUGUUGGUGAGGUAACGGCUCACCAAGGCGACGAUCCGUAGCUGGUCUGAGAGGAUGAUCAGCCACACUGGGACUGAGACACGGCCCAGACUCCUACGGGAGGCAGCAGUGGGGAAUAUUGGACAAUGGGCGCAAGCCUGAUCCAGCCAUGCCGCGUGAGUGAUGAAGGCCCUAGGGUUGUAAAGCUCUUUCGGCGGGGACGAUAAUGACGGUACCCGCAGAAGAAGCCCCGGCUAACUUCGUGCCAGCAGCCGCGGUAA